rnacentral:rRNA from 1 species
UGGCGGCAUGCCUUGCACAUGCAAGUCGAACGGCAGCACGGGAGCAAUCUGGUGGCGAGUGGCGAACGGUGAGUAAUAUAUCGGAACGUGCCCAGUCGUGGGGGAUAACGUAGCGAAAGCUACGCUAAUACCGCAUACGAUCUAUGGAUGAAAGCGGGGGGAUCGCAAGACCUCGCGCGAUUGGAGCGGCCGAUAUCAGAUUAGCUAGUUGGUGGGGUAAAGGCUCACCAAGGCGAUGAUGGAUAGCCGGCCUGAGAGGGUGAACGGCCACAUUGGAACUGAGAAACGGUCCAGACUCCUACGGGAGGCAGCAGUGAGGAAUAUUGCACAAUGGGCGAAAGCCUGAUGCAGCGACACCGCGUGAAGGAUGAAGGUCUUAGGAUUGUAAACUUCUGUUAAGUGGGAAAAAAGACUUGCUUCAAAUAAAAGCAAGGGAUGAUGGUACCACUAGAGAAAGCACCGGCUAACUUCGUG